rnacentral:rRNA from 1 species
GAUGAACGCUGGCGGCGUGCCUAAUACAUGCAAGUCGAGCGAACAGACGAGGAGCUUGCUCCUCUGACGUUAGCGGCGGACGGGUGAGUAACACGUGGAUAACCUACCUAUAAGACUGGGAUAACUUCGGGAAACCGGAGCUAAUACCGGAUAAUAUAUUGAACCGCAUGGUUCAAUAGUGAAAGACGGUUUUGCUGUCACUUAUAGAUGGAUCCGCGCCGCAUUAGCUAGUUGGUAGGGUAACGGCUUACCAAGGCAACGAUGCGUAGCCGACCUGAGAGGGGGAUCGGCCACACUGGAACUGAGACACGGUCCAGACUCCUACGGGAGGCAGCAGUAGGGAAUCUUCCGCAAUGGGCGAAAGCCUGACGGAGCAACGCCGCGUGAGUGAUGAAGGUCUUCGGAUCGUAAAACUCUGUUAUUAGGGAAGAACAAAUGUGUAAGUAACUAUGCACGUCUUGACGGUACCUAAUCAGAAAGCCACGGCUAACUACGUG